rnacentral:lncRNA from 1 species
AUGCCCCUGAGAUGCUGUAAGCUGCUUUUCACAUGGAUGCUGUGGGGUGCUCAUAGGAUGUUCAUGGCACACAGCCCUGGGAUGCUCGCAGGAUGCUCACAGUACAUGGCUGUGGGAUGCUUGCAGGGCCCCCACAUCAUGCUUGAAACACACAACCCCUCUAGGGAUGAUGGCCCCUGUGCUCACACCAGUACACCCACUGACUGCAGCCCCCAGUCCCCCAUGUGCUCUGAAGAGUCAGGUAAAGCACUGGGGGGACACACACCAAGGGGCUGUGGCUGCUCCUGCCCCAUGUGCCCCUCUGUCACAGCAGUGCCCGCACUGUCCUUUGCAUGGUGCUCCCCCAGCCCCAAGCAGGGGCGUCUGGGUGCAAUUUCCUCCCAGCAGGGAGCAGUUGCCCCCCCUUCCUCCCCCUGUGCUACAGCUGCGGUGCCGACUCCACAGCAGCCCUGUGCCUGCCAAGGUAAACACACAGACACGUGGUUUCCCAGCACCUCCGGGAGCCCACGAUCCCUUCCAGGUCAGAGAUGGCCUCGCUGGUGGCCACAGAGCUGGACCCCAUGCACCCCAUGGGCUGGUGCUCCCAGAGGGGCACUGUGCCAUAGCAGGGACCCACAUCCCACAGAGAAAAGCAGCUCACACCAGGUCUCACCCAGAGCUGGAUGCGGCCCCAUCCCACUGGCUCUAGAAGAAGUGAUGCCAACAGCCAGCAGCAGCCUCUCAGCACAUGGAUGGGGCCGGUUCCCCCACACAGACACCCAUGUGCUGCUAUCCCUGCACCACACCAGGGAUGCACACAGUCCCCCAGGCAGCCCCUCUCAGCUGAGCUGCCCCUGGUGCCACCCCAGCUCAGUCCCUUCACCUCCUAAGUGGCUGCCACAUGCUGCAUCCAGCCCUGAAGACAUGAAGGGCUCUGUGUGCACCCAAAGGGCCCCGGAGCCCACGGCCACCCUGGGCUCAGAAAGCCCCAAGCACAGUCCCUGGCUCCUCCGCAUCGCGGGGCCAGCAGUGCGGGCUGGGCUGCCACCCCCCACCUGUGCACUCAUCCUGGGGCCAUACUCACCAGGGUCCGCUCGCUGCAGCCUGCAGGGCAGCACAGUGCUGGCUCCGGGCAGGCACUGCCGGCACAGCCGGGUCCCGGCGCGGCCGUUUUGCAGGCUGCGUGCUACAGGAAGGAGCUGA